rnacentral:rRNA from 1 species
UACGUAGGGUGCGAGCGUUGUCCGGAAUUAUUGGGCGUAAAGAGCUUGUAGGCGGUUGUCGCGUCUGCCGUGAAAAUUCGAGGCUCACCUCGAACUUGCGGUGGGUACGGGCAGACUAGAGUGUGGUAGGGGAGACUGGAAUUCCUGGUGUAGCGGUGAAAUGCGCAGAUAUCAGGAGGAACACCGAUGGCGAAGGCAGGUCUCUGGGCCACUACUGACGCUGAGAAGCGAAAGCAUGGGGAGCGAACAGG